ensembl:lncRNA
CGCCCCCAGGCGCUUGUACCCACUUCCCCGCGCCCCUGCCUCUCCCUGGCGACCCCCAGCCUUCGCUCCCUCCACCGCCUCUAAUCCGCGGGUGACGGGUCCGCACAGGUGGAGUCCCUGUGCGGCCCAGCUCCCAGCGGAGAUGCCAGAGGAGCGACUCCGGAGCGACCCACCUUAUCGGAGACCCGGGCUCCCGGCCUUUGCACCUACUGUGUCCUCCCUGUUAAACAAGACCCUCGAGAAGUUGGCAGAAAGGGCAAGUGGGUUGGUUGGGGCAACUGAAAAAUCAGAAGGCAUUUGGAGGGCGUCCUGAUGCCGGGAGACCCACGUCAAGCUGGCCCACCACACCUUUGCUCUGUAGGAAUGCAACUUUAUCUAAUGCUUUCAGAGGGUGGCGCCUGACUUUAGAAUAAUCACCUUUAGAGAAAAAUAAGUUUUCUGAAGAAAGGAUCUUAAAAUGUUAACAGGCCUCCUGGCCAGAAGAUGAUGCAAAUCACCUAAACUUUUGCAUAUGGAAACCUCCCUGCAAAGAUGUAACCACAAGACAGGCAGAACACAAGGAAAAAGAAAGCACUGAAGUCAAGAGCUUUGGGUUUGCAUCUGAAGACUGGCAUUCCUGGGGUCCCUUCUGCUCAGGCUUUGGCGUCUUCAUCUGUAAAAUGAUAAAGCUGGCUGAGACAGUCUCUCAAGCCUGACUCUGUUUCCAACACUUUGAAAUUUUAACAAGUCUUUAGGGGAAUAUGUUGAAGUAUAAAGUGUCCUUUUGAGUAAGUUUUAUUUCGCAAAGUUAAAAAAAAAAAUAACAAAACCAACACUAAACCACUAGUAACAUAAGUACCUUAUAACAGAGUACCCCGAUAAAUCCUAAUGUUCUUUAUGUCAUUCAAUGUAUUCAUCCAUCAGCUAUAAAAAAUGUACCAUUUCUUUUAC